rnacentral:rRNA from 1 species
GGCUGACGAGUGGCGCACGGGUGCCCUUUUCGUAUACAAUCUACGUUGUAAGGGGUAUAGCCUUUGGAACUGAAAAAUAAUCCCCCAGAAUAUCUUAUUAGUGGCAUCGUUAAAAGAUUAAAGCUUCGGUGGUAAGAGAUGAGUAUGCGUUCUAUUACCUAUUAGGUGAGGUAACGGCUCACCUAGGCGACGAUAGAUAGGGGCCCUGAGAGGGGGAUCCCCCUCACUGGUACUGAGACACGGACCACACUCCUACGGGAGGCAGCAGCGAGAAAUAUUGGACAAUGGGCGCAAGC